CAACAAAACCUUGACAAGAAGUCCAAGAAGAAGAAGAGGAAGAAGGACAAGACGGAGAGGAAGGAGGAGAAGAGGGAGAGGAGGAAGGAGAAGAAGCACAAGAGGAGGAGCGCCUCUUCCAGCGACAGCUCUGACGAUGACGAUGAUGACCGGAAACCACGGUCGCGUGCCAGGGACAAUUCUCCCCGUACCCCUUUAAAUUUUCGCCUGGAGAAGCCUGGCUAUGGACUACAGCGGCGAGACAGGAGUCGCUCCCUGCACUCACACCGUGACGACCACUCGUCCAACGGCUACGAGCGCAAGGGCCCACCGCGCAGAGCUCGCAGCCCGCCCAAACCACGCUACCAGCGCCCACAGAACACCAAACACACCAGGUACACUAUGUAGGCGCUACAGCCGCCCACAUAGCCUGCUGCUUCAGGACUUGGUGUGACUUGGUGAGCCAGUCAGCAUUUGUUCUUUAGAGCCCUGCUUGUAUUGCCCCUGUUCCUGGAAUCGCCACCCUUGGAGGAAAGCCAGUGUAUGAACAGAACGUCACUGCAGAUCUACAUUGUCACGAAUGGAUGUGCCCAAACCUCACAAUGUUUGGGACAGGCCCUAACGUGGCACAAACGGUAGGGCACUCGUUUGCCAUGUGGCCGACCCUUCCCCGUCUCUCUCUACCCACUCGCUUCCUGUCAUUACCUUCACUGUCCUGUCAACUAAAGGCAAAAAGCCCAAAGAAAUAUUUAGGAUGUUUGGGACCAAACGAAAGUAAUUCGACUGUGUUUCCCCUCAUGUCUUCAACUUGUAUCUUGUUAAAUACACCAGCACAACGUUUUCCCUGUAUAUCUUUUAAAUUUAUAAUUGACUGUGGCUGUAUAGAUAUGGUUUUAUUUGAACAUUUUUUGUUGUAUGGUUUUGAUCUACUGUUUAUUAUGUAAUGCAUAUAUACCGUAUAUUCUCAGCUGUUUUCAGCCCCAUAUGCAGGGCUCUCAUCAUGGUGUCACUUUUUACUGUUA